AUCCUACGCUUUUUUGCGUCUUCAGCCAUGUUUACACGGCAGCCUAUGGCUUAGCUCGCUAGUUUUAUGUCGACAUUAACGGAAAUAAGCGAAAAAAGCAAGUUGUUUACAAAUAAAAUAUCCAUAAUUCCAUUCCAAAGAUAACAUCUAAUCUACGAGUAUUCAGACGGGAAAUACAUGCUUCCACUUGCUGCUGUCCUGAAUGAAGGUCAAACUUGCUGCCUAAGUUCUUCCAUGAUCAGAGUCUGGGCCGCUGGAGGAUGAAGUUACGAGCCGAUAUAUCUGGAAGCAGUGGCGCAGACCUCGGAAUGGACCCGUGGAACAGUUAAAGGGCUGACUGCAGACUGCCAUCUGUGCACAACCAGAAGCGUGAGCUCUCCAGAGAUCAGAGCCAGACGGUGGAAACCACUGCAGCAUCAGCAAGAUCGAAUGUGUUCAAUUGGUUUGCCAGUAAAUUUGGGCUGCAAGUUCCUCCAGGUGGAGCCCCUGAUUCAGAACAAAGAUAUUGCCAAUAUAUCAGUCUGUUUCCUGUGAGCAUAAGCAACCUGAGCUCAGUGCUGCAGAUGGAGUCCAUGGGAACACCUACAGUAUGUGAAGUGUGGGAUGACAGCAUUAUGGCUGUUCUGUAAGUUACGCUCAGCUGUGCACUUGAAUGCAGGCAUUGAGGAGUGUUACUGAGUGAGAGCCAGGUGGAUGUACUUUCCUCUCUCUGGGGUCAGCGGACAGAUCCAUGCUGGUCCCACAGAACCAGGUGCUCACAGAGAAUCUCCUGGAAAUCCUUUAAUAAAUGAGACAAUUGUUGGCAUAGAGUGAGAGUAUAGAACUAUAAAAUUAAAUUCAGGCUCUUCACAAGUGAUCUUACUUACGUAAUCGGAUGUAUUUUUAAGUGAAACAGGAUAUUCAACUAGAAGAAGAAAUGUAGGGUGGAACUUUGAUCCACUGGGAAUCGAUUGGACUGUGAAAUGAUGGAAGUAGGCGGUUUGAGGGAAUGGGUUUAAAAAGGCAUUCAUGCAAUUAUGUCUAUAAUAAAAAGCAAAAUAUAUCCAUUAGUGAGUGGAUGACCAA